CAGUUCUAGACUCCUAGUUAUCUUUGCUGCUAUUAAGAUUUAGUUAUCUUUUUCAAUCGGUCACAUUCAUUGUUUUCAAUAACAAUCCACAUCAAGGAGGCAACCCCAGAAGGUGAAGAACUAAUCAAAUGUGGAAAACUGAAUUUAGUGGAUCUGGCUGGCUUGGAAAAUAUAUCUCGUUCUGGUGCUAGGGAGGGUCGUGCAAGAGAGGCCGGAGAAAUAAACAAGAGCUUGCUUACUUUAGGGCGGGUGAUCAAUGCACUUGUGGAGCACCUUGGUCACGUUCCUUAUAUGUUUUUAUGUUUAUCUUUGGUUUUUUGUUCCUUCCUUUUAAUAAACAAAUUGGUCGAUGCUCUUUGAGUCUUUGUAUAUUCCUCAUUUAUAUGCUUACACGGAAAAGGUGGUAUUUAGGGAUAGCAAGUUGACACGUUUACUGCGUGAUUCCCUUAGGGGAAGAACCAAAACAUGCAUCAUAGCGACAGUAUCCCCUGCAGUCCAUUGCAUGGAAGAAACUUUGAGCACGCUGGAUUAUGAACAUAGGGCAAAGCACAUAAAAAAUAAGCCUCAGGUCAGGCUCAAGAGGUACAUGGAAAUAAGGGGUGCUGAUGGGGGAACCUCAGAUAUGCUGUGUGCUCUGCCAGCAUUUUGGGAUGGCUUGGACAGGAGAGGCCUAAAUGAAUCCAGUUUUUUGGAUCCAUUAAAAGACGUCGUUGGAACAGGUUUGACGCCAGCUGAUAGGCUUCUAGAUAUGUUUCAUAACAUGUGGGAAAACAGCGUAGAUCCUAUCUUUAGAGAGCGCUGCUACUAAUCUGAGUAUAACCCCUGCAAUCCUCAGAGAGGAAAAACAACAGUUGUACUAGAUCUUACUUUCUUGUCAAACUUUAAUCUUAAUAGAUGCAAUAUUACCGACGACGGCUGUGAAAAAUUUUCAUAAUUAUUGUGGAUAAGGCAGCCGUAGAAAACUCUUGCAGAUACCCAAAGGUUCUAGUAGUGGUCAUCAUCAACAUUAACAUCAACAUCAACAUCAUCAUCAUCAAGUAGUUGAAGAGGUUUCAGUGCAAAGGAUGAAGAAGGAAGAGGUUAAUGCAAAGAUAUCAGCAUGCAGAACAAGAUUGCAAAGAUUAACAACAGAUUCAAGAGAGAAGAUGCUAUCAUCAAAGGCUGGAAGAGUGAGCAGGUUCAGAAGGCUACUUAUUGGAUGAAGAAAGUUGAGUAACGAGUUUGGAACUUGGAGAUGAAGGGACUUGGAAUGUAUGAGCAGUGAUCACUAAGAAUACAUUGAGGGUUUUUGGCUUGGCAAGGAUGGUGGUAUAAUCACGCUUACUCAGUGCGUAAACUAUGGUGUAGGGAUGGUGGUUCUAUUUUGCCUACAAUAAGGGCGAAGGUUUUAUCCCGCUUACAUAUUGAUGAAUUGUUUAGCAAGGACAGUAAUUUAAUCCUGCUAGCAUAUUGAUUUGUGAAUGCAACAUGAGCAAGGAUAGUGGUCAAAUCCUGCUUGAUCGAGGUGCCCAGUAAGGAUGGUGGUUUAAUCCUACUUACUUUGGCAGCAAGGACGGUGGUUUAAUCCCGCUUGCAUGUUCCGGACAAGGAUGGUGGUUUAAUCUCACUUGUUUAUAGAAGUUACAGAUAAGGAUGGUGGUUUAAUCCCGAAUAUCCUAGUCGGGUCUGGCAACAUAACCGACAUGUGAGCUCAUGGCCAGUAGGGCAUGCAUUCAUCAUUUGCAUCUCUUAUGUGCUUAUUUGCUUUGAUUACUUGAAGUUUGCCUAAAUGUAUACUAUGCCUACUUGCUUCUUGAAUUACUUGCUAUACAUGAAUAUUACAUGUGUUACUUGUUUGCAUAUACUUGUGAAUGUCUGAUGCUGAGGGGGUCAGGUAGGCGGU